rnacentral:rRNA from 1 species
UGGGGAAUAUUGCACAAUGGGCGCAAGCCUGAUGCAGCCAUGCCGCGUGUGUGAAGAAGGCCUUCGGGUUGUAAAGCACUUUCAGCGAGGAGGAAGGUGGUGGACUUAAUACGUUCAUCAAUUGACGUUACUCGCAGAAGAAGCACCGGCUAACUCCGUGCCAGCAGCCGCGGUAAUACGGAGGGUGCAAGCGUUAAUCGGAAUUACUGGGCGUAAAAGCGCACGCAGGCGGUUUGUUAAGUCAGAUGUGAAAUCCCCGGGCUCAACCUGGGAACUGCAUUUGAAACUGGCAAGCUAGAGUCUCGUAGAGGGGGGUAGAAUUCCAGGUGUAGCGGUGAAAUGCGUAGAGAUCUGGAGGAAUACAGGUGGCGAAGGCGGCCCCCUGGACGAAGACUGACGCUCAGGUGCGAAAGCGUGGGGAGCAAAACAGGAUUAGAUACCCUGGUAGUCCACGCUGUAAAACGAUGUCGAUUUGGAGGUUGUGCCCUUGAGGCGUGGCUUCCGGAGCUAACGCGUUAAAUCGACCGCCUGGGGAGUACGGCCGCAAGGUUAAAACUCAAAGGAAUUGACGGGGUCAUAGCUGUUUCCUG